rnacentral:rRNA from 1 species
GUUGUAUAGUCAAGUAAUUAAGUGCAUGUGGUGGAUGCCUUGGCAGUCAGAGGCGAUGAAAGACGUGA